GACGAACGCUGGCGGCGUGCUUAACACAUGCAAGUCGAGCGGAAAGGCCACUUCGGUGGUACUCGAGCGGCGAACGGGUGAGUAACACGUGAGUAACCUGCCCCUGGCUUUGGGAUAGCCACCGGAAACGGUGAUUAAUACCGGAUACGACCACUUCUCGCAUGGGAUGGUGGUGGAAAGUUUUUUCGGCCAGGGAUGGGCUCGCGGCCUAUCAGCUGGAUGGUGAGGUAAUGGCUCACCAUGGCUUCGACGGGUAGCCGGCCUGAGAGGGUGACCGGUCACAGUGGGACUGGGACACGGCCCAGACGCGGACGGGGGGCAGCAGUGGGGAAUAUUGGACAAUGGGCGGAAGCCUGAUCCAGCAGCGCAGCGUGAGGGAUGACGGCCUUCGGGUGGUAAACCUCUUGCAGCAGGGACGAAGCGCAAGUGACGGUACCUGCAGAAGAAGCACCGGCCAACUACGUGCCAGCAGCCGCCGUAA
rnacentral:rRNA from 1 species